rnacentral:rRNA from 1 species
GCGAACGCUGGCGGCAGGCUUAACACAUGCAAGUCGAGCGGGCGUAGCAAUACGUCAGCGGCAGACGGGUGAGUAACGCGUGGGAACGUACCUUUUGGUUCGGAACAACACAGGGAAACUUGUGCUAACACCGGAUAAGCCCUUACGGGGAAAGAUUUAUCGCCGAAAGAUCGGCCCGCGUCUGAUUAGCUAGUUGGUGAGGUAAUGGCUCACCAAGGCGACGAUCAGUAGCUGGUCUGAGAGGAUGAUCAGCCACAUUGGGACUGAGACACGGCCCAAACUCCUACGGGAGGCAGCAGUGGGGAAUAUUGGACAAUGGGCGCAAGCCUGAUCCAGCCAUGCCGCGUGAGUGAUGAAGGCCCUAGGGUUGUAAAGCUCUUUAGUCCACGAAUAUAAUGACUGUAGUGGAAGAAUAAGCCCCGGCUAACUUCGU